ACCGCUUACGGUGUUUUCCCUUCAUUCUUCUACCUUUUUCCUGCAGUUUGCAACAGAAACGUACAGCUUUGAAGGAGAACGGGUUGUCUGCGUCUCUUCUUCCAUGGUUUGUCUUCUACUGGGGGGAAAGACAGGAACGAUUGCAGUGACACGGUUGGGAUGUCUUGCGUACAGAUAUUUCUCUGAGGUCUAUCCAGCGGGGAGGAAAUGCGAGUAGAUUUAUAUUCGGAGGGCGUUUGUGGUCGAAAACGCAUAUAUCGGUGUUUAGAAAUCUGUGUUUAUGUGCCGCUAUUCACAGGCGAUACGCCAUCGCACAUUUGUUUGCAGUUUUUUCCCUCCGGUCGGCUGUCCGUACACCUCACCAGCCUUCGGUCCAAGAAGCAGUUGAUGCUUGACUGAUUUGCUAGGAACAGCAAGCAAAGAAAAGGGAGCGGCAAGCCGGCGUGUGGGGACACAUUUUGAAGGGCUUAUGGAGGAAGGAAACCAGAAACGCGGGACUUUUUCUACGGAAAGGGGAGCGUGCGCUCAUCUACUCUGGCGGUGAAACGGAACCGUUUGAUGUCGACAAAAAAGGAUCGCAGCUUACUUCCCGUUGGUACCUCCUGAACAGUACACAUAAAUAUGCGCAUGAGCAUAGGCAUAAACCUGCACACAGUGAAACUGUGCCUGUCUCCAGUCUCCUAGAAAAAUGGGGUGGGUUGCGUCUUCGAGUAGCCACUGGCGACGCGAGACGCGUACCGACAGUUUUCCAAAGAAACAUGAUGGCAGAAGUGUUCGGAUUUCCCGAAAAGGGGAAUGAAACAAAGGAGCUAAGGCCUGAGAAACAGCCUUACCAACCGGGACGUCGAUCUGUUGUCGCAUACGGUUCGUGUUGCAGGGAGAUUUUCACGUUUGCCGUGACGUAGAUCUGGAGAUUCGUCGUUCAAAAUCACUAGGAGAGACCCUACGUUUACGAUACACCCAGGAUGAAACGUUUUUAAACGCGCUUGUGUGUGAGUCCCGCACUGUAGCUGCAUCCCCAGGUCGAGCUUUUCUCUCGAGCUCCGUAGCAUCUUUCUCUUUACCAGCACUCGGGCUCCUACGGUUUGCCACUCUAGAUACGAUCUGCGCAAGGAAAGAGCAUCCCUUCGAGUCUCAAUGCCGCAGUCGAAGCCCCCUACACAUGCUUGACAGAUUCAGACCCCUUACCCUUGUGGAACG
rnacentral:lncRNA from 1 species